rnacentral:lncRNA from 1 species
CACCCCAGGAGACAGGCGGGGCAGGGGGGAUGUCACCACCUGAAUCCCCUGUCCUCCCUCCAAGUCCUGCUGAGGCCUGGGCUGCUUCCUCCAGCCCUCCGGGAACUAGUUCCGGCAAGGGUGGCCACCACCCACCGUCCUUGGGGGUCAGUGUCCUGCCUGCCCGGGAGAGAGAGCUGGCUAGAGCUGUUUGUUGCAACCCCUCAACUCCAAACCCCACUUCCUCAUCUUGGAAACUGCCUGARGUCCACGGCAGAGGAGCUCCUGACCCAGACACAGGGCCGCUGCCUGGGCAGGCUCAAGAGUGGACUAAGGAAAUUCCAAAGGACCGCGGUGGUCCCAGCCCAGCAGGGUCGCAGCCCCGGGCAGACAAGGCCUGCAGCACCCCGGGACCGCCGCCCCCUCCAGGGAAACCGGCCCUCGACCCGCCCCGCGAGCGGUGGCCAGGGGGGGGCCCGGGGCUGCCUCAGGGGGCAGCACCCUUUGCAAGGCAGGGGGCCUCGCGAGGCCGGGGAUGGCCUCCCGGUGCCCGGGCGUCCUGAAGACCCGGGAGGAGGGCGGCGCCCCGCGGUGCCCGCGGCCCGGGCGACUCCGAGACUGGCCCGCACUCCGCGUGGCAAAGUCCGUCCUUCCGAGUCUGAGGGACGGGGCGGGCGCGGCCUGGCCCCCGCGGCCCCCGGAGCUCUUUCGCCCUCGGGGGUCCGGCGGGGAGAAGCGCUGGGGUCUCAGCCCCGGAGCGAGCGGGUCCUGCCCCCGGCCGCGGCCCCCUCCCGGCCCGGCAGCUGCUCACCUCGUCCGCGGGGCGUCGGCGGGCGGCCAGCACUCACUCGGCGGCUCCGGGCUGGACGGCGGGCGGGGCGCGGCUCCACCCACCCGGGGGCGGRCCCCGGGGCCGCGAGGGCCAAUCAGGGCGAGGCAGCCCGCCCCGCCCCUGUCCCCGCCCCGCCCCCGCGGGGCUCGGCGGCGGCGGCCACUCGUGAGGUCCCCCAGGACCCCGCCCUGCUCCUGGAGCGGGGUGGUGCGCAGGUGCCACGCCGGACCCCGAAAAGGGGCACCCCCYUCGCCUGGGUCUCGAUGAACUCAGCUCAGGCAGGGGAGUGCGACCCACGGCGCCCGCUGGGGUCCCGAGUCCCCAAUUUCCCCGGAGGUCCCCAGCGAUGGUUUUGUGAGGUCCUCAGCUCGUGGGUGGCCACGCCCUCCUCCCUGGGCGCCAGGGUGAUGGCCGAGCGCUACGCGGCCGCUGAGCAACUUGAACUUCCGCGGUGA